rnacentral:rRNA from 1 species
CCUACGGGUUGCACCAGUGGGGAAUAUUGCACAAUGGGCGCAAGCCUGAUGCAGCCAUGCCGCGUGUAUGAAGAAGGCCUUCGGGUUGUAAAGUACUUUCAGCAAGGAGGAAGGCAUUAAGGUUCAUAACCUUGGUGAUUGACGUUACUCGCAGAAGAAGCACCGGCUAACUCCGUGCCUGCAGCCGCGGUAAUACGGAGGGUGCAAGCGUUAUUCGGAAUUACUGGGCGUAAAGCGCACGCAGGCGGUCUGUCAAGUCGGAUGUGAAAUCCCCGGGCUCAACCUGGGAACUGCAUUCGAAACUGGCAGGCUAGAGUCUUGUAGAGGGGGGUAGAAUUCCAGGUGUAGCGGUGUAAUGCGUAGAGAUCUGGAGGAAUACCGGUGGCGAAGGCGGCCCCCUGGACAAAGACUGACGCUCAGGUGCGAAAGCGUGGGGAGCGAACAGGAUUAGAUACCCGCGUAGUC